AUCUUCAUAGUGGCAACAUGUGCAAACUCACUCUAACUGCAGGUCUCUGUUUGAUCAUCGCCAGCUUGGGUAAGUUCAUAACAUCCUUUAAACAUAACUAAUAGCACUAGCAGA